rnacentral:miRNA from 2 species
UCCUUUCCAAUCAAUGAGGUAUAACAAUCUCAUUGACUGGAAGGGAUUCCUUCUGGUCAAUGGGAUGUAACAGCCUCAUCAAUCGGAAGGAAUCCCUUCCGAUUGAUGAGGUUUUUAUACCUCAUUGAUUGGAAGGGA